GUCCACGCCGUAACGAUGUCGACUAGCCGUUGGGCCCUUAUAGGGUUUAGUGGCGCAGCUAACGCAUUAAGUCGACCGCCUGGGGAGUACGGCCGCAAGGUUAAACUCAAAUGAAUUGACGGGGCCGCACAAGCGGUGGAGCAUGUGGUUUAAUUUCGAUGCAACGCGAAGAACCUUACCUACCCUUGACAUCCAGAGAAUCUGUUAGAGAUAGUAGAGUGCCUUCGGGAGCUCUGAGACAGGUGCUGCAUGGCUGUCGU
rnacentral:rRNA from 1 species